CUGAAAUCAGGUAGGACUACCCGCUGAACUUAAGCAUAUCAAUAAGCGGAGGAAAAGAAACUAACAAGGAUUCCCCUAGUAACGGCGAGUGAAGCGGGAAGAGCUCAAAUUUGAAAUCUGGCAGUCUUCGAUUGUCCGAGUUGUAAUCUAUAGAGGCGUUUUCCGUGCCGGACCGUGUCCAAGUCUCCUGGAAAGGAGUAUCAAAGAGGGUGAUAAUCCCGUACUUAACACGACCACCGGUGCUCUGUGAUACGUCUUCUACGAGUCGAGUUGUUUGGGAAUGCAGCUCAAAAUGGGUGGUGAAUUCCAUCUAAAGCUAAAUAUUGGCGAGAGACCGAUAGCGAACAAGUACCGUGAGGGAAAGAUGAAAAGCACUUUGGAAAGAGAGUUAAACAGUACGUGAAAUUGUUGAAAGGGAAACGAUUGAAGUCAGUCGUGUUCUUUGGAUUCAGCCAGUUCUGCUGGUCUACUUCCUUUGAACGGGUCAACAUCAGUUUUGUCCGGUGGAUAAAGGCAGUAGGAAUGUAGCUUCUCCGGAAGUGUUAUAGCCUAUUGUCACAUACACUGGGUGAGACUGAGGACUGCAGCUCGCCUUUAU
rnacentral:rRNA from 1 species